AGCAGUCGCCACGGUAAUACAGAGGGUGCGAGCGUUAAUCGGAUUUACUGGGCGUAAAGCGUGCGUAGGCGGCUUCUUAAGUCGGAUGUGAAAUCCCUGAGCUUAACUUAGGAAUUGCAUUCGAUACUGGGAAGCUAGAGUAUGGGAGAGGAUGGUAGAAUUCCAGGUGUAGCGGUGAAAUGCGUAGAGAUCUGGAGGAAUACCGAUGGCGAAGGCAGCCAUCUGGCCUAAUACUGACGCUGAGGUACGAAAGCAUGGGGAGCAAACAGGAUUAGAUACCCGGGUAGUCCCUGUCUCUUAUAC
rnacentral:rRNA from 1 species